rnacentral:rRNA from 1 species
ACAUGUCUACAACAUAGUGUUAAUGCAUUGAAUACCAUUAGAACUCUGCAAUUAAGCGCGCUCAGGCCAAAGAAGUAUUGGGAUGGGUGACCAGGGAAGUCCUAGUGUUUUAUAUGCC